GAGUGAGACUGCGGGCGACAAGGUUUGUAGUCGAGAGGGAAACAGCCCAGACCGUCAGCUAAGGUCCCUAAAUACCGAUAAGUGUGAAAUGAUGUGUGAUUGCGAAGACAGCCAGGAGGUUGGCUUAGAAGCAGCCAUUCCUUAAAAGAGUGCGUAAUAGCUCACUGGUCGAGUAAUGAUGCGCAGACAAUGUAACGGGGCUAAGCGGUAUACCGAAGCUACGGAAUCAGCACCUAGGUGUUGGUUGGUAGGGGAGCAUUCCAUGGACCGAAGAAGGUAAACUGUAAGGUUUGCUGGAGGGGAUGGAAGAGAGAAUGCAGGUAUAAGUAGACGAAAAGACGGGUGAGAUUCCCGUCCGCCGAAAGCAUAAGGAUUCCUGGGUAAAGGUCAUCUGCCCAGGGUAAGUCGGCCCCUAAGGUGAGGACGAAAGUCGUAAUCGAUGGGAAACUGGUUCAGAUUCCAGUACCUUAUUAAGUUUCGAGGGGAUGACGCAUGAGGUGAAACCCGGCCGGGCGACGGUAGUCCCGGUCAAAGCAGCGAGUUGAUGAUUCCGGCAGGCAAAUCCACCGGGAGAGAUGAGCUGUGACAGCGAGUGGAGCGACCGCGAAGCGAAGCGGGCGUAAUCAAGGUGCCAAGAAAUAAUCUCUAAGGCUAGGCUUAAUAAGACCGUACCGUAAACCGACACAGGUAUGCGGGAUGAGAAAUCUCAGGCGCUCGAGAGAACUCGCGUUAAGGAACUCGGCAAAAUACAUACGUAACUUCGGGAGAAGUAUGACCAUCUUUGGUUUAGCAAUAAGUUAAGGGUGGUGGCACAGAGCAGUCCCAGGCGACUGUUUAUCAAAAACACAGGC
rnacentral:rRNA from 1 species